GGGAAGGAAAGAGAGAAGGAAGAAAAGAGAGACAGCAGAAGAGAAAGAAAAAGGGGGAAGGAAGGAAAGAGAUAGAGAAGGAAGAGGAGAAGGAAAGAUGGGAAGGAAGGAAGGAGGGAAAGAAGGAGAGAAAGAGGGAAGGUUGGCCACAGCAACACGUGGCGGGUAAAGGUUGUGAUUUCUAUUAUUAUUAUUAUGCUAUUAUUCCUAUGAGACCCUGGGGGAAUGGGAGAGGUGUCAGGUCCCAGAGGCAAUGCAUUGCAUUAUUGUUAUUGUUAUGAUGGUGGUGAAAUAAAAGGAAAUAAAAAGUGAAAGAAGGAAGCAAACAGGGAGGGAAGAAAGGCAAAGGAAGAAAGGGA